AUGAGAAGCACACAAUUAAGUGAGAGCUUGAACAGUGACUUGAAAGACCAUCUAAAGUCUGCUCUUGACAUCCUUCGGUUUUUCAAGCACGUAGAGAGGGUUGUGCCACUAUAUUUUGAAGCGAUGGACUCGAGAAGCACGAAGUGGAACUAUUCAAAACAGCCAUGGAAACAUUGUUUUGGAAGACCCUAG
rnacentral:rRNA from 1 species